rnacentral:rRNA from 1 species
GACGAACGCUGGCGGCGUGCUUAACACAUGCAAGUCGAACGGAAAGGCCCUGCUUUUGUGGGGUGCUCGAGUGGCGAACGGGUGAGUAACACGUGAGUAACCUGCCCUUGACUGUGGGAUAACUUCAGGAAACUGGGGCUAAUACCGGAUAGGAGCUCCUGCUGCAUGGGGGGGGUUGGAAAGUUUCGGCGGUUGGGGAUGGACUCGCGGCUUAUCAGCUUGUUGGUGGGGUAGUGGCUUACAAAGGCUUUGACGGGUAGCCGGCCUGAGAGGGUGACCGGCCACAUUGGGACUGAGAUACGGCCCAGACUCCUACGGGGGGCAGAAGUGGGGAAUAUUGCACAAUGGGCGGAAGCCUGAUGCAGCAACGCCGCGUGCGGGAUGACGGCCUUCGGGUGGUAAACCGCUUUCGCCUUUGACGAAGCGUGAUUGACGGUAAUGGGUAAAGAAGCACCGGCUAACUACGUG